rnacentral:lncRNA from 1 species
UGGGAGCCCCUCAGCCUCCGUUCCGCCGCCACUCACGCAAUCAAAUAAUAAAUAUAAAUAAAUAAGUUAGGUCAGAUUCACAGCCCACCGAUGGCUUUCGAGAAGCCAUCUCUUAUACUUUUAACUCUUCAACGUCCCCAAAUCCCCGCUCCCUUCAUUUCGCAUCGCCGGCUCAGAUAACCCAAGAAAUUCUACUGUUUUGUUAGGAAUAACUCUGGAUUACUUGCCCAAAAGCUCUUUCUCUCUUCUCAAGGUGAACAAAAGAGAAAGGCACCAGCCACUAUUCGGCUGCUUUUGAUAAAGAGACAUGGAAUCAUGACGACGAUGAGGACCACAGGAAGCAAUCAGAAACAAAAACAAAAAGCAGAGAAGAACAAAAAAAGGCACAGCCAUUUCGAUACCUGUGUCGUCGCUGUACCGUACUAAGGGAUCCCAGAGUUUUUUUUUUUUUUCUGUUAUAAGAUUAAGACUUUGUGGUAAAUUAUGUAAAAAUGGAAGGACUCCCAACCAACUUAUACAAUGUGAUUCCGGAAAACUUCUCCAAGAAGGCAAG